rnacentral:rRNA from 1 species
UGGGCGUUAAGUUGCAGGGUAUAGACCCGAAACCCGGUGAUCUAGCCAUGGGCAGGUUGAAGGUUGGGUAACACUAACUGGAGGACCGAACCGACUAAUGUUGAAAAAUUAGCGGAUGACCUGUGGCUGGGGGUGAAAGGCCAAUCAAACCGGGAGAUAGCUGGUUCUCCCCGAAAGCUAUUUAGGUAGCGCCUCGUGAAUUCAUCUCCGGGGGUAGAGCACUGUUUCGGCUAGGGGGCCAUCCCGGCUUACCAACCCGAUGCAAACUGCGAAUACCGGAGAAUGUUAUCACGGGAGACACACGGCGGGUGCUAACGUCCGUCGUGAAGAGGGAAACAACCCAGACCGCCAGCUAAGGUCCCAAAGUCAUGGUUAAGUGGGAAACGAUGUGGGAAGGCCCAGACAGCCAGGAUGUUGGCUUAGAAGCAGCCAUCAUUUAAAGAAAGCGUAAUAGCUCACUGGUCGAGUCGGCCUGCGCGGAAGAUGUAACGGGGCUAAACCAUGCACCGAAGCUGCGGCAGCGAACGUAUCACCCAAGACAACUUUACGGAGUUGACGAUUGACGGAGCGAAGCGACGUCAAAGCGUUCAUUAAAGUCGAGUUGGCUUAGGGAUACGUUCGUUGGGUAGGGGAGCGUUCUGUAAGCCUGUGAAGGUGUGUCGUGAGGCAUGCUGGAGGUAUCAGAAGUGCGAAUGCUGACAUAAGUAACGAUAAAGCGGGUGAAAAGCCCGCUCGCCGGAAGACCAAGGGUUCCUGUCCAACGUUAAUCGGGGCAGGGUGAGUCGACCCCUAAGGCGAGGCCGAAAGGCGUAGUCGAUGGGAAACGGGUUAAUAUUCCCGUACUUGGUGUUACUGCGAAGGGGGGACGGAGAAGGCUAUGUUGGCCGGGCGACGGUUGUCCCGGUUUAAGCGUGUAGGUGUGUGUUCCAGGUAAAUCCGGUUCACUUUAACACUGAGGCGUGACGACGAGGCACUACGGUGCUGAAGCAACAAAUGCCCUGCUUCCAGGAAAAGCCUCUAAGCAUCAGGUAACACGAAAUCGUACCCCAAACCGACACAGGUGGUCAGGUAGAGAAUACCAAGGCGCUUGAGAGAACUCGGGUGAAGGAACUAGGCAAAAUGGUGCCGUAACUUCGGGAGAAGGCACGCUGACACGUAGGUGAAGUGAUUUACUCAUGGAGCUGAAGUCAGUCGAAGAUACCAGCUGGCUGCAACUGUUUAUUAAAAACACAGCACUGUGCAAACACGAAAGUGGACGUAUACGGUGUGACGCCUGCCCGGUGCCGGAAGGUUAAUUGAUGGGGUCAGCGUAAGCGAAGC